AGGGUAGCUGGAUCUUGGGCUGUGUCCUGGCGCCCUGUGCUCCGGGGCCUGUGCUUUUGGAUUCGUGCUCCGGGCUGUGCAGCCGCCU
rnacentral:pre_miRNA from 1 species